rnacentral:rRNA from 1 species
ACGAACGCUGGCGGCGUGCCUAAUACAUGCAAGUAGAACGCUGAAGGAGGAGCUUGCUUCUCUGGAUGAGUUGCGAACGGGUGAGUAACGCGUAGGUAACCUGCCUGGUAGCGGGGGAUAACUAUUGGAAACGAUAGCUAAUACCGCAUAAUAGUAGAUGUCGCAUGACAUUUGCUUAAAAGGUGCAAUUGCAUCACUACCAGAUGGACCUGCGUUGUAUUAGCUAGUUGGUGAGGUAACGGCUCACCAAGGCAACGAUACAUAGCCGACCUGAGAGGGUGAUCGGCCACACUGGGACUGAGACACGGCCCAGACGCCUACGGGAGGCAGCAGUAGGGAAUCUUCGGCAAUGGACGGAAGUCUGACCGAGCAACGCCGCGUGAGUGAAGAAGGGUUUCGGAUCGUAAAGCUCUGUUGUAAGAGAAGAACGAGUGUGAGAGUGGAAAGUUCACACUGUGACGGUAUCUUACCAGAAAGGGACGGCUAACUACGUG